rnacentral:lncRNA from 1 species
CCCCCAGUGCGCAUGUCCGACUCCAGUCUUUGUGGGCAUGCCCAGACAAGCCCUGGACAGGUUCCCUCACAAAAGCAUGGGAUAUAAACACUUGUGGGCGAGGCGAACGUUCUCAAGGGACCCCUUUUUUAUCUGCCUAGGCAUUUAGCUGUCUUAUUCCACCCCGCAAAGAAGGACAUCUAACUGCUGUUAGGAUAAGGAUAAGGAUGAAGAUCUGGCUUUACUGCUUCCUGCUGACAGGAAGUGCUGUUUUGGGGAAAUGGCAGUCAAAUUUCCCUCAGAGGCCUACCUAAGGCUCCCUGGCAAAAGGGGCCAUCCUCCGAGGCUCCUUUGCAUGACCAUUUGGAAUUUGAUGGCCCAAAGGCUAGAAGAGACAAACUGGGUUAUUGGAAAAACAUAUCAAAACAAAGGAAGGCCGUGGGUAAGGACAGCUCAAAAAUGCCGAGGCCUUCUACCAGUUUGCACAGGGAGAAAGAGGCCAAAAGCUCCACUGGUAAAAGACCUUUUACCCUUUUGCCAGCAUGUCAGGCUUCUGGGUUCCCGUCCCCUAAGCCCAAUCCUAAGCCAAACAGUCUAAGGUUUGGGAAAUUAAUUCUUCCCAGUUUGGAGGAUGCAUUUGAGGAGAGUGUCCCAUAGUAUGGAGACAUAAUUGCCUAUUAGUGAAGAGAGGACAGGAGGAAAAAAGAAAAAAGAUGUUUCCACACCUUAUAAUCUUUUUCUAAAGACUUACCUUACUGUUCUUGCACACGUCUCAUGUAAAUCUAUUGCCAGUAGUUUCAAUUACAUGUUAUAAUGGUAACUCCUAGCAAUUUGUAACUAAUGUAAAACGUGGUAAGUUGUUUUAAUUAUGUGCUAGGUGCAGCCAAGGUUUGACUCCUUCCAGCAUAAUUAAGGUUGUGGUUAAUUCAGUAUGUCCCCAGGCCUUACCGAUUGUGAAGCAGGCAAGUCAAACAGUUCUCAAAAACCACAAAAGCAGUUUAUUACCUUAAAACUUUUAGCAAACUUAGUAUCUGACCUGCAUAAUUUAGUCCACCUAUUUACAUUUGGAUGACAUCUGCAUUUUACCAAUAAUCUUUAAGACUUUUUAUUUCUCAAAGAUUAAAGUCAUGUGAACUGAAAGAUACCACACCUUUUAACCUCCCUUUUACAAAAUAUUUGAUUCAAGCGCUUAUCCUUCUUUAAGUUAAUUAGAGCUCUUUUUUAUAGAUGUCACAUACACACAACACAUAUAUAACUACACAGGCAGGCGGAAGGAAACCCAGCAGCCCUAAGAUUUUUCAUUUGCCAAUCUCCUAAUUGGAUUAUUGGCCUCCAGGUGGAGCCCUUUAAGAGACAGCGCUAGAAAAACAAGCAGCUUCUAAGGCCUAAUAAACAGUCAUAGGUGGGGCAAAAACAGAUUUUGAGAGGGAUCUAUCCACUUUUAAUUCCUGGUGUUCCAUGAGAACAGGUUUCUUCCCAAAACGGAGUCAGUGGUGCCUUCUCUGUUUUUCCCAAAGAGUCCCAUGCCCCCAGGAGUUAUCUUAGGGCUUCUCAUGCAUGCAUUGAGAGUGACAAGGCAAAAUGAAGAAAAAUAAUUCGGUCGAUUGAGAAAAAACCCUUUUUCCAGCAAAACAAGAUCCAAGAAAAGAAAAACAUAAAGACCCUUUAAAUACACUUAUAACUUAGAUAUCCACAUUUAAUUAACCUGAGUGCUCUUUACUAAAAUCCUUAUCCCUUGUUAUCUGACUUUAGCCACACCAAGUGGCCAUAUUAUUUGCUUUCAAACUUUACUAGAGGCUCAGAGAAAGGAAAAUCCAAGUUCAUGAGAGGAAGCGAAUCAACAAAUAGCAAAGGUUGCAGAUAUCAAACCAGAAAAGAUUCCCUAAGCCAGGAUUGAACCCAGCUGCCAUUGUAAAAUGGUGGGGCUAAACAAAACAUUGCCACGUGGUUACAGGUCAUGCUCCCAAGGAUGUAAAACAAGAUGGAGGCCUGCAGCAAAGUUUGCUGCUGACUACAGAAAGGCAUGCAAAGCACACCAGAUUGGCUACAGCUUAAGACCAACCUCACAAAUCCUUUUUCAUAAUGAAAACUUUACAGAGAAUAUAAACAGUGAUCCUUAUCAUUUCUGGCCUAGUAAAAUGUCUUCUAAAAAGAAAAAAAAAA